GCUUUGAUGGAUGGCGACCGGCGCACGGGUGAGUAACACGUAUCCAACCUGCCGACAACACUGGGAUAGCCUUUCGAAAGAAAGAUUAAUACCGGAUGGUAUAGUUUUCCCGCAUGGGAUGAUUAUUAAAGAAUUUCGGUUGUCGAUGGGGAUGCGUUCCAUUAGGCAGUUGGCGGGGUAACGGCCCACCAAACCUACGAUGGAUAGGGGUUCUGAGAGGAAGGUCCCCCACAUUGGAACUGAGACACGGUCCAAACUCCUACGGGAGGCAGCAGUGAGGAAUAUUGGUCAAUGGACGAGAGUCUGAACCAGCCAAGUAGCGUGAAGGAUGACUGCCCUAUGGGUUGUAAACUUCUUUUAUACGGGAAUAAAGUGAGCCACGUGUGGCUUUUUGUAUGUACCGUAUGAAUAAGGAUCGGCUAACUCCGUGCCAGCAGCCGCGGUAAUACGGAGGAUCCGAGCGUUAUCCGGAUUUAUUGGGUUUAAAGGGAGCGUAGGCGGGUUGUUAAGUCAGUUGUGAAAGUUUGCGGCUCAACCGUAAAAUUGCAGUUGAUACCGGCGACCUUGAGUGCAACAGAGGUAGGCGGAAUUCGUGGUGUAGCGGUGAAAUGCUUAGAUAUCACGAAGAACUCCGAUUGCGAAGGCAGCUUACUGGAUUGUAACUGACGCUGAUGC
rnacentral:rRNA from 1 species